rnacentral:rRNA from 1 species
UGAGGAAUUUUCCACAAUGGGCGAAAGCCUGAUGGAGCAAUGCCGCGUGGAGGAAGAAGGUCUAUUGAUUGUAAACUCCUUUUCUUAGAGAAGAAGAUCUGACGGUAUCUAAGGAAUAAGCUCCGGCUAACUCUGUGCCAGCAGCCGCGGUAAUACAGAGGGAGCAAGCGUUAUCCGGAAUGAUUGGGCGUAAAGCGUCUGUAGGUGGUCCGAAAAGUCUAAUGUCAAAUCCAUUGGCUCAACCAAAGGCAGGCAUUGGAGUACUAUUGGACUAGAGUGCGGAAGAGGUAGAGGGAAUCCCUAGCGUAACAGUGAAAUGUGUAGAUUUUAGGGAGAACACCAGCGGCGAAGGCGCUCUACUGGGCCGAGACUGACACUGAGAGACGAAAGCUACGGGAGCGAAAAGGAUUAGAUACCCUUGUAGUCGUAGCUGUAAACGACGGAAACUAAGUGGGGGCUAACCCCUGCUGUAGCUAACGCGUUAAG